rnacentral:misc_RNA from 1 species
UUUCCGUAGGUGAACCUGCGGAAGGAUCAUUGUCGAAACCUGCCCAGCAGAACGACCCGCGAACUUGUAUAAACAACCGGGGGCGGGGGGCGUUCUCGCCCCGUGCCCCCGAACGGCGGGGAGACACUCGUGCCUUCUUGCCGAACAACGAGCCCCGGCGCGGUCUGCGCCAAGGAACUUCAACUAAAGAGUGCCUCCGGUCGCCUCGGAAACGGCGUGCGUGCCGGGGGCGAAUCUUGUGCCAAACCAUAACGGCUCUCGGCAACGGAUAUCUCGGCUCUC